UCGUGGAGUGAUCUGUCUGCUUAAUUGCGUUUCACUUAUGGCUUGUAUGUGUCAUUGCUUCAAUGUUGACCGCAUUGCUUUUAUUAAGCGGUGUUUGUGUCCGUUGAGGCAAGCACUACAUAGCCUCGAAGGCAACGAACGUGACCGCAACCUCUUGUUGCCUCCCAAGAGCUUUGUAACUACUGUUUUUUUUAAAGCAUUUUUGUUUUAAAAAAGCAAUUUUUCUUAGCCGCGGUUUGU
rnacentral:rRNA from 1 species